rnacentral:lncRNA from 1 species
AAUACACAAAUGGGUUCAGGAAUUAUUCUACUUGGGUCUUGUUCGAUGUACUGCCAGUCUAGUCAAUCACAUUUAUGUCUCUAUCUUUUGAUAGUUAUUCAUUUCGAUGUAUAAGAUAAAGAAUCUCCCCAAUGAGAUUUGAUAGAUGACAUAUCAACCUUUUAAUCGAUUUGAUUAUUUUCGAUUAGACUAAGGACAUGUUUAAGUUCA